CUAGGGUUCCGGCAAGCCCGGCGUCGUCUAGGGUUCCGCCAAGCUCGGCGUCAUCUAGGUCCUCGUCAAGCUCGGCAUCCACAAGGUAUGACUCAGGGAUUUUCCUUCUUCAAUAUUUGAGCAACUACAGAGGUCUCAGAAUGGAGGGUUUCCCUAAUGCAAGUACCACCACAAUUACUCCAUUGAAAGCACUUUUUCCCUUCUUUGUGAUUCUUCGGUACAUAACAGAAAUUAAAUUGCAUUUUAUUUUAAAAAUUGAAGGACGAUCUAUAAGCUCAACGUGAGAAAUACCAUUUUGAGAUUGUCACUUGCAAGGACAAUGAAAUUCAGCUGCCAUUCGUAACUUCUUUCCUGCAAAAACAUGGUUUCCGCAUAUUCAAGUGAAGCUUUGAAGGCCAAUCAUUUUUUUGUCCUGCAUAUGAACUCAUCUUAGGGUCUCAUCACUAUUAUUUAUUGUCAACUUCAAGGGAAAUUGCAGUGCAAGAAUUUUUUUGAACUGAAAGGAAUUCUUCCAUGAGGGAAAUGUUUCCUUAAUGAUACAGUUCUAUGUUUUUAUCAUGGUGCCCAGUGAUACUUUCUUGCAUUACUUUCAGUUGCAAAGAAGAUUCAAAACUACAGAAUUAGUUUGUAAAGAAGCUCUAAGCAUAAUUACUGUUUUUAAAUGUUUCUUCGACCUUUCAGUACUGUUAUUUAACAAGCAUAAUUACUGUUUUUAAAUGUUUCUUUACUUCAGCUAUAUUCUUUUGUACAAUUCACUGUUUUAGAA